AAUGAGCUUCCUCCUCCAUGGCUUCGCAUGAAGUGAACAACCUUCAAUCUGGAGCUUCAACUCGUAAAUGAAAAAAUAGAAUAAAAUAAAAUAAAAUUUUUGUUCGUUUAAAUUUUUUGAUUUUUUUUUCCUUUUUUGUAUUUCACUACUAUCCGAUUCUGUUGGAAUUUUCCAAACCUUUGAAUGUCUUGGAUCGUAGUAGCUCGAGCUCAGCACGAAUAUCAACGAUUAAUUUCGGAUUGAAAGUUGAGUCCAUUUGUCUUAGUUUGCGUUAUUGCUGGUAUAAUCGCAUGAUACUGGUUUGAUGAAGCUGCAACUAUGUCUAUGCUGGAUUUUCACUUCUAGGAUUUUUAAAGAGUGGUGUCUAUGGGCAACCGAAGUACAACACAACUAGUUAAGUUGGAACUCUUGGCCUUAAGAGGACUCAAGCAGUUGAGUGAAGAGACAAUCUUUAGUUUCUGACCCACAGCUUGUGUUCCUCAAAUUGAGAUAAUCAUUCAAUGGGAUUCCAGAGCUGUGCUGCUUGGUCAAGUAAACGAUCCUUUUGUUUCAAAGUAUGAGUCCAAAACUCCUUGCUGUGUGUUACUUUGCUUGCUAUGGCAUGGAUGAUGCACGGACUUUAACCUGAUGGUGAUGUCUAGCAAGUUUGAAUUCACUUCAAGUAGCCCAGAUAGACCAUUACACUCUAGUGGGCAACGUGGAGCCCACAUGGCCGUUCCACUGGACAGAUCUGGUAGCUUUCGUGAGUUGGAGAAUCCAAAUUUAUCUACUCUUCCAAAUAUGUCAAGAAGUGCUUCUGCUGUUUCACAAGGGGAAGUUUUAAAUUUCUUGCAAUGCUUGCAUUUUGGUCGAAAGUUGGUUGCUACAGAUGAAAAGUCUAAUCGUCAAGGGGACUUUAGCAGACAGUUACAACUUGCUCUUAGUAUGUCACCGGAUGAUUCUCCAUCUAGUUCUUCAAAAGGUAAAUUGCCAUCUGUGAUGCCAGAAGAAAUCAAGCGGAUGAAGGUUAGCCUACGUGAGUGCUCUAUCAAAGCCAGGGAACGCUUAAAACUUUUCAAUGAAGCCUUAUCUGUAUUUAAUAAGUUCUUCCCAAGUGUACCAUCAAAAAAGAGAUCCCGGUUAGAAGGUUAUAACAAUGAGCGGUCCAAUUUCAUUUUAUCUGGUGAGCGGUCAGCUAGGGGGCAAGCUGGUAAGUUAGGAAAUCAGAGUCAUGCAAUCCCUGGUGUUUUUGAGCAUGAGAUGCAGAAAUCUGAAGAACGAAUAAAAAAUGCUUUGACGAAUAAACGCACAAGAACUUCAUUGGUGGAUGCAAGGGGGAUGGAUGUUCGUAAUAAUCCUCCUGUGAGACCAUCUGGAGCUGCAGAUAGGGAAAGAGAUGCACUAAGGCUUGCUAAUAGUGGUGCUGUUCCAGGUGAAGAUAGGAGUUUAUCAAUUGGCGUCGAUGGUUGGGAGAAGUCAAAAAUGAAGAAAAAGCGAUCUGUAAUAAAGCCAGAUGCCUCUUCAAGCAGUCAAUCGACAAAACCAGUGGAUAGCUAUGAUGAAGUUAAACAACAAUUGCAGCAAAGACCUGUCUCUGAUGCUCGAUCGCGAAUAAAUAAAGAUAACCAUGGGUUUAGGCCAGGGGUUGCUAAUGGAGCUUCUGCUGUUGGAAAAUCUGAUGGUGUUGCCCAACAAAAUAGCUUGGGUAUUCGUUCAUCCAUGUCCAGGAGUGACUUGGACGGCAAUUCCCUUGUCAAUGACAGGAGAGAUAAUUCUAUUGGUUCAGACAAAGAAAGAGUGAACCUUCGGGGUGUUAAUAAGUCAAAUGUCCGGGACGAAUUUGUUUCAACUAGUCCUACAUCAAAUGCUAAAGUUAAUCCAUCUGUUCGAGCUCCACGGUCCAGUUCAGGCAUCGCUCCAAAAUUUUCUCCAAUUGUUCAUAGAGCAGUUGCUUCUAAUGAUUGGGAUAUGUCAAAUUGCACAAAUAAGUCUAUUUCUGCUGUUGGUGUGAGCAAUCGGAAACGUAUGAUAUCAAUGCGGUCCUCAUCCCCUCCAGUUUCCCAUUGGGCAAGCCACAGACCACAGAAGAUCUCCCGCUCUGCAAGGAGGACCAAUCUGGGUCCGAUAGUUUCAAGCAAUGAUGACAACCCUUUGGAUAGCACAUCUGAUGUUGUGGGCAAUGAUACUGGCUUGGGAUUUGGUAGACGCAUGUCUAGUAGUUCUCCACAGCAGGUGAAAAUAAAAGGUGAACCAUUAUCCUCAGCUGCUCAAUCUGAAAGCGAGGAAUCUGGGGCUGUUGAAAUCAAAUCUAGAGAAAAGACACGAAAGUCGGAAGAUUUAGACGAUAAAUCUGAACAAGGUGUUCAAAAGGUACCUGCUUUAGUUCUGCCUACUAGGAAGAAUAAGUCGGUUGAUGAAGAUAUUGGAGAUGGGGUUCGGAGACAAGGAAGGACUGGCCGUGCUUUUACUUCCACUAGAUCUCUCAUGCCAAUAACAGUUGAGAAGAUUGAUGUUGUAGGAACUGCAAAACAGCUUAGAAGUGCCAGACUUGGAUUUGAUAAAGUUGAAAGCAAGGCAGGUCGUCCACCUACUAGGAAAUUUACUGAUCGCAAGGCAUAUAAACGUCAAAAGCAUUCAGCAAUGAAUGUGGGGACAGAUUUUCUUGUUGGAUCAGAUCAUGGGCAUGAAGAACUAUUGGCUGCUGCUAAUGCUGUUACAAAUCCUGGCCGCACUUUUUUCAGCCCAUUUUGGAGACAGAUGGAGCAAUUCUUUCGUUUUAUAUCUGAAGCAGAUAUUACACACUUAAGAAAACAAGGUGACCUUGAAGGUGCUGCAUCACGGCCAAAAAUUGUCUCAGACAAGAACGCUUACAACAUUAGUCAGGAUAAUUUUGAGCACAUUGAAAAGGAAGCAAGCAAAGUUCCUUUAGAACAUAUAAUUCAAGAGUCGAAAGAUCAUACUGUAAUUCCUUUAUACCAGAGACUCUUGGCCUCGUUAAUUCCAGAGGAGGUGGCUGACAACGAAAGUGAAGACACCCAGUUUGAUAGAUACAGAAUGCCCGAGUUAGAUGAACAUUAUAAGCCAAACAAAUUGAGUCAUGAAAUUUCACCUAGUUCUCAGUUUUCUGGGCAUUCUGCUAAUGAUGAUUAUAACAUGAGAAGAGGAUCCGGAUCAGAUCAAUAUAUGCCUGAAACAGAUAGACAGGGCAUUCCAAAUUCUGUGAGGAAUUCCCUAAAUGGCUUGAUCUCCAAUCAAGCUUUGAUGCCUGGAAUGGCCUGUUCAGAGUUUCAGUAUGAUGACAUGCCGUUAAAUGAGAAACUUCUCUUGGAGAUUCAAAGUAUUGGAAUCUUCCCAGAUUCGGUGCCUGAAAUGUUACAGAUAGAGGAGGAGGAGAUCACUAACGACAUACGUCAGUUGGAAGAGAAGAAGAAUGAGUUGGUUUCAAGAAAGAACUCUUUGCUCCACAAACUGUUGCAGUCUGCCCUGGGCACAAAGCAGCUUCAAGAAAAAGAGUUUGAAAGGCUUGCCAUGGAUAAACUUGUUGCAAUGGCCUACGAGAAGUAUAUGGCUUGCAAAGCUUCUAAUGCGUCUAGUGGAAAGAAUUCCAAUAACAAAAUGGCAAAGCAAGCUGCCUUGGCAUUUGUUAAGAGAACAUUGAACCGAUGUCAUAAAUUUGAGGACACAGGAAAGAGCUUCUUCAGUGAGCCUUCAUUUAGAGAGAUGUAUUCUUCCUGGUCUGUCAAUCCCAAUGGUGAAAGACAAUCAGAUCCUGUGGAGGGUGAGUCAGAGAAAUCAUAUGCCUCCAUUCAAUCUCUGGAUGCCAGAGUCUCAGCUUUGGCAGGCUCACAGAAUAGCCCUUCACACUUUAGUCAGAAUCUGGAAAACCACGAUGUUACCUCUGGCAAUGUGCUUCCACCUGCUAAUCACCAAGCUGAGAGAACAACCGGAAGAGAAGAAUUAUGGUCAAACAGGGUGAAAAAGAGAGAACUGUUGCUUGAUGAUGUCGGUAAUGCAGGUGCCCCAUCAGUCAUUGGGAGUUGUAUUUCAAGCAGUGCAAAAGGGAAGAGGAGUGAAAGGGAUAGAGAUGGUAAAGGGCAUAACAGAGAGGUGUCAUCUAGAAAUGGAACUAAAAUUGGUAGGCCAGGAUUAUCAAAUACUAAAGGGGAAAGAAAAACUAAGACAAAGCCUAAGCACAAAACUGCCCAGUUAUCAAUUUCUGUUAAUGGCCUUCUAGGCAAGAUGACAGAGCAGCCAAAAUCGACAUUGUCUCCUCUACCAAAAUCAAGUACUUCAAAUGUUGGUUCAAAAGAAAAAGAUCAAUUUGGCUUGGAUGGACUUGAUGACCCCGACUCAAUAGAUUUAUCUAAUCUUCAAUUACCAGGAAUGGAUGUAUUAGGUGUUCCUGAUGAUCUUGAUGGCCAGGGUCAGGAUCUGGGUUCAUGGUUAAAUAUUGAUGAGGAUGGUUUACAAGAUCAAGACUUCAUGGGCCUUGAGAUUCCAAUGGAUGACCUCUCAGAUUUAAAUAUGAUGGUUUGAAGUUUGUCCUCCUUGUAUAGUCUUCAAGUCUUGUUUAUUAAUACUUUACAAACUAAAGGGAAAUCCUACGUAAAGAGUGACUGGUAGUUGCAUAGUUAUUGGCUACCGAUCCAAAUUAGGUUACUAGAUUCUUUGAGGCUCCUCUUCAAGUUAUUUCAAGUAAAUCUUUCGGAUGUUUGGAAUUUUGCUCCUGUAUUUAGUUGGUGACUUUGACUGUAAAGAUAGUCUUGUUCAAGCUACAAGUUAGUAUAGUCAUAGUGAUAUUUAGGGUACACAGCAUUCAGAAGUAACGGAGCCUCUCCAUCAUGGUAUGGAGGAUUCUAGCAUUAGAAUGGAAAGGAGUAUUAACUAAUCGCAGACUUCUAGAGAGCUUGCUUCGAUCCUUCAAUCCAUUCACUUAGGGAACUGCUUCACACUUUCCAUAGCUUGAUGUUACCAAAGAGAAUCCAUUUGCCUGGUAACUACAAAAGCUUGAGAUCUCCAAUUCAUUCGGCUAAGACACUGAUUUCAAUUUUCCAUACUUUGAGAGGAAAUGCCGCAGACACAUGAAAGUUCGAUUACAUGCAGCCAAUGAGAUUUGAAAAUAACUGUUUAGCCAUCAAAUUGUAGUCCAGGAAAAUAACUCGUCCAAAUCCAAGGAAAGAACAACAGUCGGUUCCUCUGAUAUGUAGUAACCUAGGGAUUAUUUUCUUAGACUGCCUUUGGCUCUUUACUUCACUUUGGCCAGUUAUUUUUUUUUCUUUUACCAUAAAACUAUUUGUAGACUGCGAUAUUUACAAAGAAAUUGUAAUCAAUGGACACCAUCAGGAGUGUGAACUUUGUUAAGACUUCAUACCAGAACUUUGAGAAUUCCUUCCUGUAAAUUCGUUAUUCUUUCCUUAAAUGAUCACUUCCAUGGAAAAUUAGUGUCAGAUUGCAACCCCAUCUCAGCCACGGAGGAUCUGAAAUCAAAGGAGGGGGACAGGCUAGCAGCAGACAAAUGGCAGCUCGCCAUCAUGAAGCUGUGGUGCCGUGGAUGUUGGAUGAUUCUUACAAGUGCAAUAUGGAUGCAGCAAUCAUCUAUUAGAAACUCACAGGAACCCAAUGUCACAAUGGAGAAUUUUUUAACCUCAAAUGGGCAAUGUUAAUCUUGGAAGACGAUGGUAGGAACUCACAGGAAGGCGAUGUUAGCCUUCAGAGAAAAGUCAGUCUCCAGAUUUGGGAGUGGUAACUUCUUUGAUUGUUUAGAAAUUGCUUUGACAAAUUUUCAACAUGCUACAACCUUUCUUUGAUGUCCUGCUAGAUAAGCAACAAAUGGAUGAUAGGUGGUCUCCUCACAAAUAAAAAAUGCAACCAAAUGGCCCAUAAUCUGGCAAGCCAUCUUAGAACAUCAACAGAACUAGUGUGGAUCGAAGACGAUUCCCUUAGAUGCAUUCUGCCGUCAACCUUUAUGUUUCUUUUUCUCAUGUGAUCUUAAGUUUUUUUUCUCCAAGCUUUCUGUACAAUUAGUAUGAUAUUAGAAAAGGAUAUUAUACGUAAUUAACUAGUAGUGUGUUGAUUAUAUAUAGGGUUCAGUUGUGGACUUUAGAAGGUGAAUCAUUCUGGUGAGAGUUUAUAUCGUAGGACUUUGAAAGAGAGGCCUGUCGAAAGGCUACUGAUAUAUUGUAAUUUUUGUUCUAACGACAAACAUUCAAACAUAAUUGCAAUAAUGGUAUGAAAUUACUAAAGGGUGAUAAGAAA